UACGUAGGGGGCGAGCGUUGUCCGGAGUUACUGGGCGUAAAGCGCACGCAGGCGGUCUGCUCAGUUUGGAGUGACAGUUGGUGGCUUAACUGCCAAAGUGCUUCGAAAACUGACAGACUUGAGGGCUUCAGAGGGACACGGAAUUCCGGGUGGAGUGGUGAAAUGCGUAGAGAUCCGGAGGAACACCAAAGGCGAAGGCAGUGUCCUGGGGAGUACCUGACGCUCAGGUGCGAAAGCCAGGGGAGCGAACAGG
rnacentral:rRNA from 1 species